rnacentral:rRNA from 1 species
GAGUUUGAUCAUGGCUCAGAUUGAACGCUGGCGGCAGGCCUAACACAUGCAAGUCGAGCGGCAGCACGGGGAGCUUGCUCCCUGGUGGCGAGCGGCGGACGGGUGAGUAAUGCAUGGGAAUCUGCCCGGUAGUGGGGGAUAACCCGGGGAAACCCGGGCUAAUACCGCAUACGUCCUACGGGAGAAAGCAGGGGAUCUUCGGAUCUUGCGCUAUCGGAUGAGCCCAUGUCGGAUUAGCUUGCUGGUGAGGUAACGGCUCACCAGGGCGACGAUCCGUAGCUGGUCUGAGAGGAUGAUCAGCCACACCGGGACUGAGACACGGCCCGGACUCCUACGGGAGGCAGCAGUGGGGAAUAUUGGACAAUGGGGGAAACCCUGAUCCAGCCAUGCCGCGUGUGUGAAGAAGGCUUUCGGGUUGUAAAGCACUUUCAGCGGGGAAGAAGGCAUGGCGGCUAAUACCCGCCAUGAAGGACAUCACCCGCAGAAGAAGCACCGGCUAACUCCGUGCCAGCAGCCGCGGUAAUACGGAGGGUGCAAGCGUUAAUCGGAAUUACUGGGCGUAAAGGGCGCGUAGGCGGCCUGCCAAGCCGGAUGUGAAAGCCCCGGGCUCAACCCGGGAACGGCAUUCGGAACUGGCAGGCUAGAGUGCAGGAGAGGAAGGUGGAAUUCCCGGUGUAGCGGUGAAAUGCGUAGAGAUCGGGAGGAAUACCAGUGGCGAAGGCGGCCUUCUGGACUGACACUGACGCUGAGGCGCGAAAGCGUGGGUAGCAAACAGGAUUAGAUACCCUGGUAGUCCACGCCGUAAACGAUGUCGACCAGCCGUUGGACCCCCUGAGGGUCUGGUGGCGC